rnacentral:rRNA from 1 species
CAACUAAUCCCGUAUACGCCCUACGGGGGAAAGAUUUAUUGCUAUUAGAUGAGCCUAUAUUAGAUUAGCUAGUUGGUAAGGUAAUGGCUUACCAAGGCAAUGAUCUAUAGCUGAUCUGAGAGGAUGAUCAGCCACACUGGAACUGAGAUACGGUCCAGACUCCUACGGGAGGCAGCAGUGGGGAAUAUUGGACAAUGGGCGAAAGCCUGAUCCAGCCAUGCCACAUGAGUGAAGAAGGCAUUUGAGUUGUAAAGCUCUUUCGGUGAGGAAGAUAAUGACGGUACUCACAGAAGAAGUCCUGGCUAACUCCGUGCCAGCAGCCGCGGUAAUACGGAGAGGGCUAGCGUUAUUCGGAAUUAUUGGGCGUAAAGAGCGCGUAGGCUGGUUAGUAAGUUAAAAGUGAAAUCCCAAAGCUCAACUUUGGAAUUGCUUUUAAAACUGCUAACCUAGAGAUUGAAAGAGGAUAGAGGAAUUCCUAGUGUAGAGGUGAAAUUCGUAAAUAUUAGGAGGAACACCAGUGGCGAAGGCGUCUAUCUGGUUCAAAUCUGACGCUGAGGCGCGAAGGCGUGGGGAGCAAACAGGAUUAGAUACCCUGGUAGUCCACGCUGUAAACGAUGAAUGUUAAAUAUGGGAAGUUUACUUUCUGUAUUACAGCUAACGCGUUAAACAUUCCGCCUGGGGACUACGGUCGCAAGAUUAAAACUCAAAGGAAUUGACGGGGACCCGCACAAGCGGUGGAGCAUGUGGUUUAAUUCGAUG